rnacentral:rRNA from 1 species
CCGCGGUACCCUGACCGUGCUAAGGUAGCAUAAUCACUUGCCUCUUAAUUAGUGGCUAGUAUGAAUGGAUAAACGAAAGCAGUACUGUCUCAAAUAUUUUUAAUAAAAAUUAAUCUUCAUGUGAAGAAGCAUGAAUAAUAUAAAAAGACAAAAAGACCCUGUAGAGCCUUACUAAAACUCUUUUUUAAAAUAAUAAAUAUUAAAAAAAGAUUAAUAGUUUAGUUGGGGCGACUAAGGAAAAGCAAAAUCUUCCACUAAUUAAAAGGCAAAUAAGCCUAAAUAGAUCCGGUUAUGCCGAAUAACAAAACAGGCUACCUCAGGGAUAACAGGCUAAUCCUCCUCGCGAGCCCAAAUUUACAGGAGGGAUUGGCACCUCGAUGUUGGCUUAGGGCCCCCAGAAAAUGCAGCCGUUUUUAUGGGAGGUUUGUUCAACCUUUAAUACCCUACGUGAUCU